AUACUUACCUGGCAGGAGUGAUACUACGAUCAUGAAGGUAGUUCACUUAGGGCGAGGCCCAACCAUUGCACUCCGGUUGGGCUGAAAUCCUACGAAGUCCCCACAUGUGGGACUCUCGACUGCAUAAUUUGUGGUAGUGGGGGGCUGCGUACGCGCUUUCCCCCG
ensembl:snRNA U1 U1 spliceosomal RNA